rnacentral:rRNA from 1 species
GAGUUUGAUCCUGGCUCAGAACGAACGCUGGCGGCAGGCCUAACACGAUGCAAGUCGAACGAUAAGUCGCGGUUCGCCGCGACCCAAAGUGGCAGACGGGUGAGGAACAUGUGGGAAUCUACCCAAAGGCGGGGAACAACCCAGAGAAAUCAGGGCUAAUACCCCAUACGCCCAAUCCUUAAUCAGAUUGGGGAAAGAUCUUUCGCCUUCGGAGGAGCCCGCACGGGAUUAGUUAGUUGGCGCGAUAAUAGCGCACCAAGACCAUGAUCCCUAGCUGGUCUGAGAGGAUGAUCAGCCACACUGGGACUGAGACACGGCCCAGACUCCUACGGGAGGCAGCAGUGGGGAAUCUUGCGCAAUGGGCGAAAGCCUGACGCAGCCAUGCCGCGUGAGUGAAGAAGGCCCUCGGGUUGUAAAACUCUUUCGCCGGUGACGAUCGUGACGGUAACCGGUAAAGAAGCCCCGGCCAACUCCGUGCCAGCAGCCGCGGGUAAGACGGAGGGGGCUAGCGUUGUUCGGAAUUACUGGGCGUAAAGGGCGUGUAGGCGGAUGGAUCAGUCGGGGGUGAAAGCCCGGGCUCAACCCCGGAACGGCUUCGAUACUGUCCAUCUUGGAGGGCCGGAAGAGGUGAGCCGGAAUUCCCAGGUGUACGAGGGUGGAAUUCGUAGAUUUUGGGAGAACACCAGAGGCGAAGGGGGGUCACUGGUCCGGGUCCUGACGCUGAGGGCGAAAGCGUGGGGAGCGAACAGGUUUAAUACCCUGGUAGUCC